CCUACGGGAGGCAGCAGUGGGGAAUAUUGCGCAAUGGGCGAAAGCCUGACGCAGCGACGUCGCGUGAGGGAUGAAGGUCCUCGGAUCGUAAACUUCUUUUCUCAGGGACGAAGCAAGUGACGGUACCUGAGGAAUAAGCCACGGCUAACUACGAGCCUGCAGUAGCGGUAAUACGUAGGUGGCAAGCGUUAUCCGGAUUUACUGGGUGUAAAGGGCGUUUAGGCGGGAAAGCAAGUCAGAUGUGAAAACCAUGGGCUCAACCUGUGGCCUGCAUUUGAAACUGUUUUUCUUGAGUACUGGAGAGGCAGACGGAAUGCCUAGUGUAGCGGUGAAAUGCGUAGAUAUUAGGAAGAACACCAGUGGCGAAGGCGGUCUGCUGGACAGCAACUGACGCUGAGGCGCGAAAGCGUGGGGAGCAAACAGGAUUAGAUACCCGAGUAGUC
rnacentral:rRNA from 1 species